CUAUUAAAACAUGUUUGUCUUCAAAGAAUGGCCUUGGUUUCUGUGGGCAAUGUCUCCUCAUAGAAAGCAGCCUUUGUCACUUCAAACACCGCAAGUGUUCUUUAAAAAAAAUUAUAUCAACCUUUCAAUUAAAAUGCAACAUGUCUGCAACCUGGUAUCUAGAGAGGAACAGUAAGAGGACCUUUUGCUUGAAUAAUUUUUAUCCACACUACAGAGUAGGUAAUGAGCAGAUUAUAUAAAAACAAUUCUGCUUCACUUCAGUAACAGCCUCCUCAACUCGUUUUUUCUCAACAAACUUAUUUUUCCAGCAGAAGAAUCCCAGGCUUCUUAGAGAAUCCAGUGACUUUUUGCACCUUAAAUCGGUGAAAUCAUCAAUUUUCUUCUGCCGUAUCCAUAGUUCAAACAAAGAUGAGGCAAAGCCAGACUCAUUCCUGAAGGAACCCAAGAAAUUCCUCCUUUCUCUCUCUGGAAUGAAAUGAAUUCUCUAGACCGUCAGUUCUAACCUUCAAAAACCAAACCUAUUUGUGAGAUCUCCUUCAAAUACUACUGUAGACCCCAGUGUUUAUUCAUCAAAUUUUUUGAAUAUUUGUUUUAUUUGGAA